GGGGGUUUAGAGAGAGAGAGAGGAUUCGUUGUCAUUUUUUUUUUUUUUGAAUUUUGAACCAGUUGGCUAAAAUUGAAACUAUUUCCCAAAUCAGGCUAAAUUGUCUAAAUUAAAAGGUUUGAUCAAACUUGAUAAAAUGCACAGGGUUUUUCUUUUUCUUUUUCGUUUUUUUUUUUUGUUAAAGCUAAGAGUGAGAAUGGACAAUGGCCCAUGCCUGGACUUUUAAAGGCUCCUGGUUUAUUUAUCCAGUCAAUGUUGUGGUUAUACUACUUUUAAAAGAAUUACGAGAUCACAAGAAAUUGAUU
rnacentral:misc_RNA from 1 species